UACGAAGGGGGCUAGCGUUGCUCGGAAUUACUGGGCGUAAAGCGCACGUAGGCGGCUCUUUAAGUCAGGGGUGAAAUCCUGGAGCUCAACUCCAGAACUGCCUUUGAUACUGGGAAGCUUGAGUCCGGGAGAGGUGAGUGGAACUCCGAGUGUAGAGGUGAAAUUCGUAGAUAUUCGGAAGAACACCAGUGGCGAAGGCGGCUCACUGGCCCGGUACUGACGCUGAGGUGCGAAAGCGUGGGGAGCAAACAGG
rnacentral:rRNA from 1 species